GACGAACGCUGGCGGCGUGCCUAAUACAUGCAAGUCGAACGCUGAAGAGAGGAGCUUGCUCUUCUUGGAUGAGUUGCGAACGGGUGAGUAACGCGUAGGUAACCUGCCUGGUAGCGGGGGAUAACUAUUGGAAACGAUAGCUAAUACCGCAUAAAAUGGAUUAUCGCAUGAUAAUCCAUUGAAAGGUGCAAAUGCAUCACUACCAGAUGGACCUGCGUUGUAUUAGCUAGUUGGUGGGGUAACGGCUCACCAAGGCGACGAUACAUAGCCGACCUGAGAGGGUGAUCGGCCACACUGGGACUGAGACACGGCCCAGACGCCUACGGGAGGCAGCAGUAGGGAAUCUUCGGCAAUGGACGGAAGUCUGACCGAGCAACGCCGCGUGAGUGAAGAAGGUUUUCGGAUCGUAAAGCUCGGUUGUAAGAGAAGAACGAGUGUGAGAGUGGAAAGUUCACACUGUGACGGUAUCUUACCAGAAAGGGACGGCUAACUACGUG
rnacentral:rRNA from 1 species